rnacentral:lncRNA from 1 species
UCAAUCUGGCAGCAGAAUGUAAACUGAAUUUGAGGAGAGUUCAGGAGUAGGGCAGGGUUGGAAGCUAGAAAUGGGGGCAUCAGUUAAUAGGAUAUUGCCAUGGUCUAGCCACAAGGCAACAAGAACCCAAAGUUGAAGUAAUGAAGUUGUAGAAAUAGUAGGGGAGAGAGAUUAAACAACAAACAGUUGGAGGCGACUCUGAGGUUUUGUCAACUGCAAAAGGGAGUGAAAGGGGUGAAGUGGUUUGAGCAAAGAAAAAGCAGAGCUGAGUUUGGUACAUGCUUAUUUACAAAGUAAAAGAAAUACUUAUAUAUGUAUAUACGUUAUUGCAAAUGUGAUGCAGAUAAAUUGCAGAAAAUUAAAAAAUGGAGAAAAGCAUUAUAAAGAAAAUAAAAAUCAUAUUUAAUCCCACAACCACAGUUUGCCAUUGCAAUAGUACGUUUGGUAUAUUUCUUUCUAGAUAGAUAAAUAAACAGAUGGAGCAUGGUACUAAGUAGUCUUCAAAAAUAUGAUUCUCACUCGCUGCGUAUUACCAUCUGGAUACACCAAAAUUGAUUUCACUGUGCAUCAAUUGUUGGACUUUAACUUGAUUUAUAGUUUCUCCACACUAUAAAUAAUGCCAUGGUGAACAUCUUGCUGUAUGCUUCUUUGUCUGCCUCUCUGAUAAAUUUCUAAAGUAAAAUGAUUGAGUUAAAGGUUAUAAUCUUUUUUAAAGUUCUUAACUCAUGUUGUCAAAUGCUCACUCGAUACUUACUGAUACAGUGUAUGUUCAGGUUGAUUUCACAGCACAUUCAUCAAUCAACACUAGAAUUAUUUUGAUUUUUUUAAACCCUUGGCAAUUUCACAGUAUAAAAGGGAUAAUCACUAUUUCUUAAAUUAUUUGUUUUUUAUUAUUACUAAUACUUUAAUAAUAAUUUUGGGUGUGCCUAUUGGCCAUUUUCAAUUUCUCCUCUUUUGAAAAUUGUAUCAUUUUUUCAUAUUUCUGUUGGACAAAAUCUGUUUUUUAUGUACCAGUUUAUGACAACUUUUAAUAGUGGGGCUAUUACAGUUUUGUGUAUUAGACAUGUUGCAGUUUUUUGUUUUUUUUUUUUUUUUGCCACAUUCUCAUUACCUUUCAAAGUUUUAUAUGGUAUUUUUGAUAAGUAGAAGUUUUGAAAUUUUAUGUAGUCAUUGCUAUCCCCUUUUGGAUUUUUUUUCCUUUUCUGUUAUACUUUGACAGUCCCUCUCAAAACAAGAUUCAGUAAACAUUUACCUAUGAUUUCUUUUAAUUCUUUGUGAUUUCUUCAUUUGUCUCCUUAUUUGAAGCAUCAGCCUGUGGUGAUCAUGAACACAGGCUCUGGAGUUACAUGGACUUGGAUUUGGAUGCUGGUUCUCCCAAUUACUUGCUGUGUGACCUUGGAUAAUGCUUAACCUCUCUGAAACUCAAUUUUCAAAUCUGAAACAGGGUUGGAAGUUGCAGGAGAUAAUGUAUGUCGAAGUGUCCAGCACAUUACUUGGUCAGUAGCAGACAUGUAAUCUUAAAUAUUGCCACGUUAGGUCUCUGUUAAGUAUGUACAAUUUUGAUCUUCAUGAAGGCAGAGACACUGUCUUAUUUACCUCCAUAUCGCAUGUCUAACUGAGGACAUGUCUUAAAAUAUAUUUUCAGUGACUAUUUGAUGAAUGAAUGUAUGAAAUGAGCUUAACAGAUUGCAUUUUGUAAGUUGUAAAGGCAAAAGGAAUUCACUUUAAGACGUCGAACUCAUUUAGAAAGAACCAGAAUAGUUACUGUGCAUCUAGAAUGUAAGGAAAAAAAGCAAACAAGAAACAAAUUAACACUGUUCUUUCAUUAGCUACAGCUCGCCAUUCAGUCUUGUGGGUCUGGUCAGUCACCUUUGACCCCUGACCUCUUGCCUUGACCUAGGCAUACAGGCCAUUGCCAAGCUCUCUUGAGUCUGUAUGUAGAGAGAUUUUAAGAGCUCAUAGGGCCCUCUGAGGUCAUUUGGUCAGCUCAACUUCCAGUAUUUGUAUUUUAGUUG